GUCAGAGGAAAAUGUUACUACUAUAUUCACAUAGAGACUGAUCAGUAUGUUAUAAACCAAAGAUCCCCCCACAUGGGGAAAAUCUGAUGAAACAUAACAUGAAACCGUUUCCUGGGCAGUGUUUCAUUAACUACCUGGGACAACUGUGAGCUGUCGUCCUCCGCUCUCGCUGACGUGCUCUCGUCACCAUGGUAACAUUUUCUCAAGCAAGUCAGAUGCAGACGAGGUUGGUCCCGUGUGCUGUCCCAAGCAAGCCGAGGAGUGAGAUGUGAAGUGUUUUACCGUAGAGUUUCUGCAGAAUGUUCUUCCCAGCUUAGUUUGUUUUCAACAUGUUUAACUCUGGGGCAGAGAGAUCUAAUACAAAUAAUAGUUUUGAAUAGCUGACAUUCAUUGGCUGUGAUAUCUGAAUUCAUAUGGACAUACAUCCCUAGCAUGUAAUGAUGUGUUCGCAUGUAUGUUUUUUAAGUAACUUGUUCAGUCUUGUUUUUCUUAGCUGCCAUAGUAACACACAGUGACAUCAUAGUCCUUUUCUUCUCAUGACAGCUAAUCACCAGUUCAGAACACAUACACACCUACUAAUGUGUUAACCACAGUAAAGGAGGGAAUUAAUAUGUCAUCUGGAAAUAUACAGCAUUCAUAAAUGUGUCUCCACAGUCUAGCAAAGAUGACAAAUGACUCCAUAAAAAGUAACUUUUAAAUGGUUUUGAAAGUAUGUAUCGAGCCG